rnacentral:rRNA from 1 species
GGUGUGCCUAAUACAUGCAAGUCGAGCGAAGAAAUUUCCUUCGGGAAAGAGUAAGAGCGGCGGACGGGUGAGUAAUACGUGAGUAACCUGCCUCAUUCAAAGGGAUAGCCACUGGAAACGGUGAUUAAUACCAUAUAAAACAGCAGCAUCGCAUGAUGUAACUGUCAAAGAUUUAUCGGAAUGAGAUGGACUCGCGCUUGAUUAGUUAGUUGGUGGGGUAACGGCCUACCAAGACAGCGAUCAAUAGCCGGCCUGAGAGGGUGAAC